CUGCUAAAGUAGAGUAGAUAUAAAACAAAAAAACUCAUAGGGACUUCGUCUUCACUUACAAAACUUGGGUAAGCCAUAAUAAGCUUGUGUAGGGUAUUUGGAGUCCAUUAUGACAAGAUUGGUGUGUAUGACUGAGCAUAAGAAAGUGAAAUGCAACCCGUAUCCUGGCUGCUAAAGUAGAGUAGAUAUAAAACAAAAAAACUCAUAAGGACUUCGUCUUCACUUACAACACUUGGGAAAGCCAUAAUAAGCUUGUGUAUGGUUUUUGGAGUCCAAUAUGACAAGAUUGGUGUGUAUGACUGAGUAUAAGAAAGUGAAAUGCAACCCGGAUCCUGGCUGCUAAAGUAGAGUAGAUACAAAACAAAAAAACUGAUAGGGACUUCGUCUUCACUUACAAAACUUGGGGAAGGCAUAAUAAGCUUGUGUAGGGUAUUUGGAGUCCAAUAUGACAAGAUUAGUGUGUAUGACUGAGUAUAAGAAAGUGAAAUGCAACCCGUAUCCUAGCUGCUAAAGUAGAGUAGAUAUAAAACAAAAAAACUCAUAGGGACUUCGUCCUCACUUACAAAACUUGGGAAAGCCAUAAUAAGCUUGUGUAUGGUUUUUGGAGUCCAAUAUGACAAGAUUGGUGUGUAUGACUGAGUAUAAGAAAGUGAAAUGCAACACGGAUCCUGGCUGCUAAAGUAGAGUAGAUACAAAACAAAAAAACUCAUAGGGACUUCGUCUUCACUUACAAAACUUGGGGAAGGCAUAAUAAGCUUGUGUAGGGUAUUUGGAGUCCAAUAUGACAAGAUUAGUGUGUAUGACUGAGUAUAAGAAAGUGAAAUGCAACCCGUAUCCUAGCUGCUAAAGUAGAGUAGAUAUAAAACAAAAAAACUCAUAGGGACUUCGUCCUCACUUACAAAACUUGGGAAAGCCAUAAUAAGCUUGUGUAUGGUUUUUGGAGUCCAAUAUGACAAGAUUGGUGUGUAUGACUGAGUAUAAGAAAGUGAAAUGCAACACGGAUCCUGGCUGCU
rnacentral:lncRNA from 1 species